GAUCAUGGCUCAGGAUGAACGCUGGCGGCGUGCUUAACACAUGCAAGUCGAACGAAGAUACUUAAAAUGAGAGCUUCGGCAGGAAUUUUAUUUAUCUGAGUGGCGGACGGGUGAGUAACGCGUGGGUAACCUGCCCUGUACAGGGGGAUAACAGUCAGAAAUGACUGCUAAUACCGCAUAAGACCACAGCACCGCAUGGUGCAGGGGUAAAAACUCCGGUGGUACAGGAUGGACCCGCGU
rnacentral:rRNA from 1 species